CACGUAGGGUGCGAGCGUUGUCCGGAAUUAUUGGGCGUAAAGAGCUCGUAGGCGGUGUGUCGCGUCGGCCGUGAAAACCUGCAGCUUAACUGUGGGCUUGCGGUCGAUACGGGCAUCACUGGAGUUCGGCAGGGGAGACUGGAAUUCCUGGUGUAGCGGUGAAAUGCGCAGAUAUCAGGAGGAACACCGGUGGCGAAGGCGGGUCUCUGGGCAGUAACUGACGCUGAGGAGCGAAAGCGUGGGUAGCGAACAGG
rnacentral:rRNA from 1 species